GACGAACGCUGGCGGCGUGCUUAACACAUGCAAGUCGAACGGAUAGGCCCUGCUUUUGUGGGGUGCUCGAGUGGCGAACGGGUGAGUAACACGUGAGUAACCUGCCCUUGACUUUGGGAUAACUUCAGGAAACUGGGGCUAAUACCGGAUAGGAGCUCCUGCUGCAUGGUGGGGGUUGGAAAGUUUCGGCGGUUGGGGAUGGACUCGCGGCUUAUCAGCUUGUUGGUGGGGUAGUGGCUUACCAAGGCUUUGACGGGUAGCCGGCCUGAGAGGGUGACCGGCCACAUUGGGACUGAGAUACGGCCCAGACUCCUACGGGAGGCAGCAGUGGGGAAUAUUGCACAAUGGGCGGAAGCCUGAUGCAGCAACGCCACGUGCGGGAUGACGGCCUUCGGGUUGUAAACCGCUUUCGCCUGUGACGAAGCGUGAGUGACGGUAAUGGGUAAAGAAGCACCGGCUAACUACGUG
rnacentral:rRNA from 1 species